rnacentral:lncRNA from 1 species
AAAUUACAAAACACAUAUUAUAUAUAGAUAUAUAUAAAUCUAAUUUAUUUAUUUAUUUAUUUUUAUAGGAACGUAAUAUUGCACAUCCUAGAAGUUAAACAGUUAAUGAGAACUUGCAAAAAUUUGACCUGUUGCAAUGUGCCGUUACUAAACUCUGAAUGGAAGGUUGGACUUAGACCUGAACCACCAGGAGGAUAACCCAAUACUCUGAAGUUUGUUUGUUGUCCAGACCGCUUCUGUGUAGUGAAACCAAGUUCGGAAGUGCCAAAAAUUUGAAUAUUUCUACGUAGUUUUGGAGACAAUCCUGCCCUGAAAGCCAUCACAUUCAGAGUUUUUCAAGAAUGUUUCUUUAUUUUCUUCAUUAUCUACAAGAUAUUUUGGGAAAAGGAAAAGCUUGCUUUCUAUCAGCUGUAGAGGAAGUUGAACCUGUCCUCAUCUCCUUUAGGUGAGUCAAUAAUAAAUUAUUGCACAGAAGUGAGGAACA